AGAGUUUGAUCCUGGCUCAGAACGAACGCUGGCGGCAUGCCUAACACAUGCAAGUCGAACGAGACCUUCGGGUCUAGUGGCGCACGGGUGCGUAACGCGUGGGAAUCUGCCCUUGGGUUCGGAAUAACAGUUAGAAAUGACUGCUAAUACCGGAUGAUGACUUCGGUCCAAAGAUUUAUCGCCCAAGGAUGAGCCCGCGUAAGAUUAGGUAGUUGGUGGGGUAAAGGCCUACCAAGCCGACGAUCUUUAGCUGGUCUGAGAGGAUGAUCAGCCACACUGGGACUGAGACACGGCCCAGACUCCUACGGGAGGCAGCAGUGGGGAAUAUUGGACAAUGGGCGAAAGCCUGAUCCAGCAAUGCCGCGUGAGUGAUGAAGGCCUUAGGGUCGUAAA
rnacentral:rRNA from 1 species